GGAGGUAUGGCUCAGCACUAGAUUGCCCACCUAGCAAGUAUAAGACCCUGGGUUCAAACCCCAGUACCACCU
rnacentral:tRNA from 1 species